rnacentral:lncRNA from 1 species
CAUUUUCUGUUCGAAAUUUGUGAAGGAAAGAAAUUAGGGAUUUGGGCUACUGGAAUUUGGGAUUUAGAAAUCACCCCCAAAAUCAAUUGAACCAGCGACAGUCAUCUUUAGAAAAGGAGAACAUGUUUGACCAUGGUGAGGCUGCAGCGGUGGCGAAAUUGCUUAAUGCAACUCCUGAUUGGAGUUGUCACCACGCUCAAUGUCCUAUCCUCCACGGCAAUUUGUGGUUCGCCAUCAAAUUCUUUUAUCUGAAAAGCAUCAUUGUUAGGAUGAAUCAUGUGAUUGCACCGAUAAGGAUGAAAAUUG